rnacentral:rRNA from 1 species
CCUACGGGAGGCCGCAGUGAGGAAUAUUGGUCAAUGGACGAGAGUCUGAACCAGCCACGUAGCGUGAAGGAUGACUGCCCUAUGGGUUGUAAACUUCUUUUGUAAGGGAAUAAAACGAGGCACGUGUGCCUUUUUGCAUGUACUUUAUGAAUACAGAACGGCUAACUACGUGCCGGCAGCCGCGGUAAUACGGAGGAGCCGAGCGUUAUCCGGAUGUAUUGGGUUUAAAGGGAGCGUAGAUGGGUUGUAAAGUCAGUUGUGAAAGCUUGCGGCUCAACCGUAGAACUGCAAUGGAUACUGGCAGGCUGGAGUACAGGUGAGGUAAGCGGAAUUCGUGGUGUAGCGGUGAAAUGCGUAGAUAUUAGGAAGAACCCCAGUUGCGAAGGCAGCUUACUAAACUGUGACUGACAUUGAUGCUCGAAAGUGUGGGGAGCAAACAGGAUUAGAUACCCUAGUAGUC